AGAGUUUGAUCCUGGCUCAGAACGAACGCUGGCGGCAGGCUUAACACAUGCAAGUCGAACGCAUCUCUUCGGAGGUGAGUGGCAGACGGGUGAGUAACGCGUGGGAACGUACCCUUUGGUUCGGAAUAACCCAGGGAAACUUGGGCUAAUACCGGAUGCGCCGGAAACGGGAAAGGUUUACCGCCGAAGGAUCGGCCCGCGUCGGAUUAGCUGGUUGGUGGGGUAACGGCCUACCAAGGCGACGAUCCGUAGCUGGUCUGAGAGGAUGAUCAGCCACACUGGGACUGAGACACGGCCCAGACUCCUACGGGAGGCAGCGGUGGGGAAUAUUGGUCAAUGGGCGCAAGCCUGAACCAGCCAUGCCGCGUGAGUGAAGAAGGCCUUAGGGUUGUAAAGCUCUUUCAGCGGGGACGAUAAUGACGGUACCCGCAGAAGAAGCCCCGGCUAACUUCGUGCCAGCAGCCGCGGUAAUACGAAGGGGGCUAGCGUUGUUCGGAAUUACUGGGCGUAAAGCGCGCGUAGGCGGGCGUUUAAGUCAGGGGUGAAAUCCCGGGGCUCAACCCUGGAACUGCCUUUGAUACUGGACGCCUGGAGUUCGGGAGAGGUGAGUGGAAUUCCGAGUGUAGAGGUGAAAUUCGUAGAUAUUCGGAGGAACACCAGAAGCGAAGGCGGCUCACUGGCCCGAUACUGACGCUGAGGCGCGAAAGCGUGGGGAGCAAACGGGAUUAGAUACCCUGGUAGUCCACGCCGUAAACGAUGAAUGCCAGCCGUUGGCGGGCUUGCCCGUCGGUGGCGCAGCUAACGCAUUAAGCAUUCCGCCUGGGGAGUACGGUCGCAGAUUAAAACUCAAGGAAUUGACGGGGGCCCGCACAGCGGUGGAGCAUGUGGUUUAUUCGAGCACGCGCAGACUUACAGCCCUGACAUG
rnacentral:rRNA from 1 species